UUUUUAGAGAGAGAGAAAGCACACAAGCAGGGGGGACAAUACAGAGAAGAUUAGCAUGCCCUGUGCAAGAAUAGCAUGCAAAUUUCUGAAGUAUUCCAUGUCUUU
ensembl:snRNA U6 U6 spliceosomal RNA